UACGGAGGGGGCUAGCGUUGUUCGGAAUUACUGGGCGUAAAGCGCGCGUAGGCGGCUUUGUAAGUUAGAGGUGAAAGCCCGGAGCUCAACUCCGGAAUAGCCUUUAAGACUGCAUCGCUAGAACGUUGGAGAGGUAAGUGGAAUUCCGAGUGUAGAGGUGAAAUUCGUAGAUAUUCGGAAGAACGCCAGUGGCGAAGGCGACUUACUGGACAACUGUUGACGCUGAGGUGCGAAAGCGUGGGGAGCAAACAGG
rnacentral:rRNA from 1 species